rnacentral:rRNA from 1 species
GAUGAACGCUGGCGGCGUGCCUAAUACAUGCAAGUCGAGCGAACAGACGAGGAGCUUGCUCCUCUGACGUUAGCGGCGGACGGGUGAGUAACACGUGGAUAACCUACCUAUAAGACUGGGAUAACUUCGGGAAACCGGAGCUAAUACCGGAUAAUAUAUUGAACCGCAUGGUUCAAUAGUGAAAGACGGUUUUGCUGUCACUUCUAGAUGGAUCCGCGCCGCAUUAGCUAGUUGGUAAGGUAACGGCUUACCAAGGCGACGAUGCGUAGCCGACCUGAGAGGGUGAUCGGCCACCCUGGAACUGAGACACGGUCCAGACUCCUACGGGAGGCAGCAGUAGGGAAUCUUCCGCAAUGGGCGAAAGCCUGACGGAGCAACGCCGCGUGAGUGAUGAAGGUCUUCGGAUCGUAAAACUCUGUUAUUAGGGAAGAACAAAUUUGUAAGUAACUAUGCACGUCUUGACGGUACCUAAUCAGAAAGCCACGGCUAACUACGUG